rnacentral:rRNA from 1 species
GACGAACGCUGGCGGCGUGCCUAAUACAUGCAAGUCGAACGCAGUGGGGACGGGUGCGUAACACGUGGGUAACCUCCCAUCAGAGGGGAUAACACUUGGAAACAAGUGCUAACCCGCUACUGAUGGAUGGACCCGCGGUGCAUUAGCUAGUGGGUGGGGUAACGGCUCACCAAGGCCACGAUGCAUAGCCGACCUGAGAGGGUGAUCGGCCACACUGGGACUGAGACACGGCCCAGACUCCUACGGGAGGCAGCAGUAGGGAAUCUUGGGCAAUGGGCGAAAGUCUGACCGAGCAACGCCGCGUGAGUGAAGAAGGUUUUCGGGUCGUAAAGCUCUGUUGUUAGAGAAGCGGUAUCUGACCAGAAAGCCACGGCUAACUACGUGCCAGCAGCCGCGGUAAUAC